ACACGAGAAGGGAGGUGGUUCGGCAGAUGUAUGGCAACCGGACGCGUGAGGUGGCUGCGGGCUAGCAGUCCUUCCCCGGGCUCCGCAGGAGCUCGGUGCCGGCACUCGCCGGCCCAAUCCCAAGCAGUCACCCGACCCGUGGGCUCGCCGGUACGUCCGGCCGGUUCCCUCUCCGAGGGACGUGAGCCCACGGGUCGUCUGCU
rnacentral:sRNA from 1 species